rnacentral:rRNA from 1 species
GACGAACCGUGCGAACGUUGUUCGGAAUCACUGGGCUUAAAGGGCGCGUAGGCGGGCUGUCAAGUCUGGGGUGAAAUCCCGCGGCUCAACCGUGGAACUGCCUUAGAUACUGACGGCCUCGAGGAAGGUAGGGGCAUGCGGAACUGUAGGUGGAGCGGUGAAAUGCGUUGAUAUCUACAGGAACUCCGGUGGCGAAAGCGGCGUGCUGGACCUUUUCUGACGCUGAGGUGCGAAAGCGUGGGGAGCAAACAGGG